CUUACAAAGGCUACUCUUCUCUUCUGCCUGUGUGGUUGAGUACCUCAAUAACCUGUCAAGAAUUCCAAUAGAUUGCCUGGGGUGACAGGAUUAAAUGACAAACACUACCCUGAUGCCAUCUGAGAAAUAUAUUUUCUCCACAGCAGCAUCUGGUUCAUUGGCAGACUCUUCAGGCAGUUGCGUUGACAUCAUCUGCACUGUGCGU